GCGAUGAUAAUAGCGAUGAAAGAGACGUGCGUGUUCCGAAAAGAUAUAUUAGAGACUGGUUCGAUCCGUUUCACUUUUAUAGUAACAAAGAAUUUAAAAGGCGUUUUAGAUUUAAUAAAGAAUCUGUAAUACACGGAAUUUUGCCAGAAAUUGAAGAAGGACUUGCACGCAAUAAUAAUCGUGGUCUUCCAAUACGUCCGGUAUAUCAAUUGUUAAUUUGUCUACGGUUCUACGCUACAGGCAGUUUUCAGGCAGUACUUGGAGAUACAAUUAUUGUCUCGCAACCAACUAUAUCAAGAGUUGUAUUUCGAGUAUCCAUAUUGUUAGCAAGGAUAUUCAAUAGGUUUAUAAAAAUGUCUUCUACACCAGAUGCUAUAAGAGAAAAUCACAAUCUUUUUAAAGAUAUAGGACGUCGUGCUGGAGGUAUUGGUUUACCAGGGAUUGAUGGAGCUAUUGAUUGUACACAUGUAUGAUUAGUUGGUACCAAAUUGCAGAUCAUAGAAGAAAUUUAUAGAAAUCGAAAGGGAUAUCUAUCAUUAAAUGUACAGGCUGUUGUUGGGCCUAGAACAGAAUUUUUGGACAUUGUUCCAAAAUGGCCGGGUAGCCAACAUGAUAGUAGAAUUUUUCAAAAUUCUGCUAUAUACAUGAAAUACUUUCAACGUCAGUUGCCAGGUAUUCUAGUAGGAGAUGCAGGAUAUCCCUGUUUACUAUUUCUUUUAACUCCUAUUCAGAAUCCGCAAACAGAUGAGGAAAUUGCUUACAAUGUACUUCACGGAAGAACACGUCAGAUUGUUGAAAGAACAUUUGGGAUAUGGAAACGUAGAUUUCCGUGCUUAUCUAGAGGAUUAAGCAACAAGUUAAUUGGUUCAACAACAAUAGUUGUUGCGUGUGCUGUGCUGCAUAACAUGUCUUUAAUUUUUAAUGAUAUGUUACCAAAAGAAGAAGUUGAAGAAAAUAAUGAAAUAGAAAUACCAAUUGAACCACACUGGUAGCCGGGAGAGGAUUUUGUAAUGCGAGAAGCACUUAUUGAGAGACUGUAUAGAUAGUUUAUUAUACAACUUAUUACAUAACUUAUACAAUGAACAAAAAAUAACAAAGUAAAUUUUA
rnacentral:lncRNA from 1 species